AUAAUCCAUUUUGCUUCAUGGCGAAAUGUUGAAAGGCGGCUUCGGCUGUCACUACGAGAUGGGCCCGCGGCGCAUUAGCUAGUUGGUAGGGUAACGGCCUACCAAGGCGACGAUGCGUAGCCGACCUGAGAGGGUGAUCGGCCACACUGGGACUGAGACACGGCCCAGACUCCUACGGGAGGCAGCAGUAGGGAAUCUUCCACAAUGGACGAAAGUCUGAUGGAGCAACGCCGCGUGAGUGAAGAAGGUUUUCGGAUCGUAAAACUCUGUUGUAAGGGAAGAACACGUACGAGAGUAACUGCUCGUACCUUGACGGUACCUUAUUAGAAAGCCACGGCUAACUACGUGCCAGCAGCCGCGGUAAUACGUAGGUGGCAAGCGUUGUCCGGAAUUAUUGGGCGUAAAGCGCGCGCAGGCGGUC
rnacentral:rRNA from 1 species